AUUGAACGCUGGCGGCAGGCCUAACACAUGCAAGUCGAGCGGAGCGGCGGACGGGUGAGUAAUGACUAGGAAUCUGCCUGGUCGUUGGGGAUAACGUCAGGGAACGGGCGCUAAUAUCACAUACUAUCAGAUGAGCCUAGGUUGGAUUAGCUAGGUGGUGGGGUAAAGGCCUACCAAGGCGACGAUCCGUCACUGUAUUGAGAGGAUGAACAGUCACACUGGAACGGAGACACGGUCCAAACUCCGACGUGAGGCAGCAUUGGGGAACCUUGGACAGGGGGCGAAAGCCUGUUCCAGCCAUGGCGCGUGUGUGAAGAAGGUCUUCGGAUUGUAAAGCACGUUAAGUUGGGAGGCGUUACCAACAGAAUAAGCACCGGCUAACUUCGUGCCAGCAGCCGCGGUAAUAC
rnacentral:rRNA from 1 species